UUCCUACGGGAGGCAGCAGUGAGGAAUAUUGGUCAAUGGGCGAGAGCCUGAACCAGCCAAGUCGCGUGAGGGAAGACGGUCCUAUGGAUUGUAAACCUCUUUUGCCGGGGAGCAAAAAGCGGUACGUGUACCGCAUCGAGAGUACCCGGAGAAAAAGCAUCGGCUAACUCCGUGCCAGCAGCCGCGGUAAUACGGAGGAUGCGAGCGUUAUCCGGAUUUAUUGGGUUUAGAGGGUGCGUAGGCGGGUUAUCAAGUCAGCGGUAAAAUCGUGGAGCUCAACGCCAUCCAGCCGUUGAAAC
rnacentral:rRNA from 1 species